rnacentral:rRNA from 1 species
AAAUAACUACGAGUGAAAACUUAAAACUUAAAGGACUUGACGGUACUUCACACUCAACCUAGAGGAGCCUGUCUACUAACCGAUAAUCCACGAUUAACCCAGCCACUUCUAGCCAUCAGUCUAUAUACCGCCGUCGCCAGCCUACCUUGCAAAAGAAACAAAGCGGGCAUAAUAGUGUCAGCACUAACACGACAGGUCGAGGUGUAACUAAUGAAGUGGACCAAGAUGGGCUACAUUUUCUAACAUAGACUAUACGAACAAAGAUAUGAAAUCAUCUUUCAAAGGCGGAUUUAGCAGUAAGCUGAGAACAUAAUACUCAACUGAAAUCAAUGCAAUGAAGUGCGU